rnacentral:rRNA from 1 species
UGGGGAAUAUUGCACAAUGGAGGGAACUCUGAUGCAGCGACGCCGCGUGAACGAAGAAGGCUUUCGAGUCGUAAAGUUCUUUUAUAUGGGAAGAUAAUGACGGUACCAUAAGAAAAAGCCCCGGCUAACUACGUGCCAGCAGCCGCGGUAAUACGUAGGGGGCUAGCGUUGUCCGGAAUCACUGGGCGUAAAGGGUUCGCAGGCGGAAAUGCAAGUCAGGUGUAAAAGGCAGUAGCUUAACUACUGUAAGCAUUUGAAACUGCAUAUCUUGAGAAGAGUAGAGGUAAGUGGAAUUUUUAGUGUAGCGGUGAAAUGAGUAGAUAUUAAAAAGAAUACCGGUGGCGAAGGCGACUUACUGGGCUAAUUCUGACGCUGAGGAACGAAAGCGUGGGUAGCAAACAGG